rnacentral:rRNA from 1 species
AACGAACGCUGGCGGCACGCCUAACACAUGCAAGUCGAACGCGACACUAUUCUUCGGGAUAGUAUUGAGUGGCGGACGGGUGAGUAACGCGUGGGAACCUGCCUUGCAGUAAGGGAUAACUUCGGGAAACGGAAGCUAAUACCGUAUACGCCCUUCGGGGGAAAGAUUUAUCGCUGUAAGAUGGGCCCGCGUUAGAUUAGGUAGUUGGUAGGGUAAAGGCCUACCAAGCCGAUGAUCUAUAGCUGGUUUGAGAGGAUGAUCAGCCACACUGGGACUGAGACACGGCCCAGACUCCUACGGGAGGCAGCAGUGGGGAAUAUUGGACAAUGGGGGCAACCCUGAUCCAGCGAUGCCGCGUGAGUGAAGAAGGCCUUAGGGUUGUAAAACUCUUUCACCUGUGAAGAUAAUGACGGUAACAGGAGAAGAAGCACCGGCUAACUCCG